GAUUUGCAUGAGAGAUCGAAGCGACAUCCUUUUCUUUUCCUUACUUUUAGGAAAAGAAAAGAUACAGCGGAGAGCCCGACCCUUG
rnacentral:sRNA from 1 species